CUGCGUGGUCGAGCUGGCUGCCCCCUCAGUCGCCUGCCUUUGUGCCUCUAGCCUCCUUGGCUCCCUGAGUGCCUCACUUUGCCUUCUCCCCUGUUUCUCCCACCUCUGAGGCCGAGUAGCAGAAGUCAGAAGCUGGUGUCCAAGAGCCCCAAGAAGCAUGGUUAUGUCCCCUGAAGCCCUGGUCCACAUGAAGUUCUUCCUGCUUUUCUUCAGAGGAAGAUGCAGGAGCUGGUUAAAGGAGUGGAUUUUGCAUUCAGACAUCUCUUGGGGCUGCCUGUAGGUGGAUAUGUUCAUGGAAGAUGGUGAAAAAGACAAGAAUAGGAUUUGCUGUAUAGAAUCACUAUAGUCACCAUCACACUGAGUGUCAACAACAUCUCUUGUUAUCCUCACAACUGUGUAAAACAG
rnacentral:lncRNA from 1 species